rnacentral:rRNA from 1 species
UGAGGAAUAUUGGUCAAUGGACGGAAGUCUGAACCAGCCAAGUAGCGUGCAGGAUGACGGCCCUAUGGGUUGUAAACUGCUUUUGUAUGGGGAUAAAGUCAAUCACGUGUGAUUGUUUGCAGGUACCAUACGAAUAAGGACCGGCUAAUUCCGUGCCAGCAGCCGCGGUAAUACGGAAGGUUCGGGCGUUAUCCGGAUUUAUUGGGUUUAAAGGGAGCGUAGGCCGGACAUUAAGUGUGUUGUGAAAUGUAGACGCUCAACGUCUGACUUGCAGCGCAUACUGGUUUCCUUGAGUACGCACAACGUUGGCGGAAUUCGUCGUGUAGCGGUGAAAUGCUUAGAUAUGACGAAGAACUCCGAUUGCGAAGGCAGCUGACGGGAGCGCAACUGACGCUGAAGCUCGAAGGUGCGGGUAUCGAACAGGAUUAGAUACCCUGGUAGUCCGCACAGUAAACGAUGGAUGCCCGCUGUUGGUACCUGGUAUCAGCGGCUAAGCGAAAGCAUUAAGCAUCCCACCUGGGGAGUACGCCGGCAACGGUG